rnacentral:rRNA from 1 species
UGGGGAAUAUUGGACAAUGGGCGCAAGCCUGAUCCAGCCAUGCCGCGUGAGUGAUGAAGGCCCUAGGGUUGUAAAGCUCUUUCGCCAGGGACGAUAAUGACGGUACCUGGAUAAGAAGCCCCGGCUAACUUCGUGCCAGCAGCCGCGGUAAUACGAAGGGGGCUAGCGUUGUUCGGAAUCACUGGGCGUAAAGCGCACGUAGGCGGAUCUUUAAGUCAGGGGUGAAAUCCCGAGGCUCAACCUCGGAACUGCCUUUGAUACUGGAGGUCUCGAGUUCGGGAGAGGUGAGUGGAACUGCGAGUGUAGAGGUGAAAUUCGUAGAUAUUCGCAAGAACACCAGUGGCGAAGGCGGCUCACUGGCCCGAUACUGACGCUGAGGUGCGAAAGCGUGGGGAGCAAAACAGGAUUAGAUACCCUGGUAGUCCACGCCGUAAACGAUGGAUGCUAGCCGUUGGGGAGCUUGCUCUUCAGUGGCGCAGCUAACGCUUUAAGCAUCCCGCCUGGGGAGUACGGUCGCAAGAUUAAAACUCAAAGGAAUUGACGGGGUCAUAGCUGUUUCCUG